rnacentral:rRNA from 1 species
UACGUAGGGUGCAAGCGUUGUCCGGAAUUAUUGGGCGUAAAGAGCUCGUGAGGCGGCUUGUCGCGUCGGCAUGUCGAAACCUGGGGCUCAACCCGGGACCUGGCAGCCGAUACGGCGAAGCUAAGAAUUCGGUAGGGGAGACUGGAAUUCCUGGAUGUAGCGGUGAAAUGCGCAGAUAUCGGGAGGAACACCAAUGGCGAAGGCAGCUCGCUGGGACGGUACUGACGCUGAGACGGCGAAAAGCGUGGG